AGUAAUGGCGUCUCGCGUUGUUUCGCUUUCCGAUAUUCCUGACAUAUUAUCAUAAAUGUGACAUUACAAUGCGAAAAAAAUAGAAGUCAAAGGAAUUUGUAACUGGCUGCUACAUCGGGAGGCUCGAUAUAUCUUUAGAAAAUGACGAUAUCUAACAUUGACGGGGUGAAAUCUAUCGAAGUCAGAGAAAAUCGGAUAGCCGCCAUCGAUACAAAGGAAAAGCGUGUGUGUGACGGAUACUGUAAAUGCAAACAAGGAAAUUGUGGAACAUGUUCACACACUCUGGCUGAAAAGAAGACCUGGGAGGAAAAUUGCCCCCGGUGUGUGGCUCGAACUCACAACCACCAGAACACUAGCCCGGCGCUCUAAACAACUAAGCUGACCGGGCAGCUGGUUCUAACCCACACACACUACCCUCCCCCCAUUUACUGGUUAAGGCUGGUGGAGGGUCUCCUGCUAUUUACCGUUGACACCAUUAAAGUAUUCUGAUUGAUGGAGAUAAGGAAGUCCCCUUAUUAUUGUCUUCAACAAGCCUACCGCAACAGGGGACCUAGCAUAAGACCGGAAACCGCCCCCGCCCCCCCCCCCCACACACACACGAUAUUUGCCAGUCCAGGCAAUGUCAACCGCAAGAGAAAACCAGUGAUGACAAGUUUUACAAAUAAUCGGAAAGUGUGGUCUUUUGAAGAGAGUUCUUGAAGUUGUUCAGCAUGUUGUUUUGAUGGAUUCUUGGAAGGAUGUACCUCUAUGAUGUUAGCUUCAGUUCUGGAUUAUAACACCAGUUGUUGCAUAAUUAAUAUCAGAUUUAUUAAAUACAUUGUUGUUUUGCAAACAUUACUUAAACUUUGAUAUUUCUUUGGUGUUUAUGUAUGAUAUUGUAGGUGAAUAUCUCUUUAUUGCAAUGGCAAUAUUUUGGCUCGGAGAAGUUUGCUUUGUGAUUUAUAUAUUAGUUCUUAAUUUAAAGAAUGCCAAAAUAAGCCGAUUCUGAGACAAAAAGUGUCAAACUAGAAUUCUGUGAGAGUGCAACUUUAAGAAUACUGUUAAUCGAGUGUGCAUGUGAUCCGGACUCUGAACAUUGGAUGAAAACUAUCAUUAAAUAUUGUAGAUUUACGUAAAUGGCCCAAAAUAUAAGAAUAACAAUGAAAAUAUGUACAUGUUUGACUUGUUCUUUAUUCAUAAUAAGUCUAAGUCUUUACAGCACAUGUUUGGCAGAAUCAAGUUCUAAUGAACAUAAUAAUUGAUUUAAAUGUACAGUGAAAUAAAUUGUUUUAUACAGAAAAUAAUACCUUAACGAUUC